rnacentral:rRNA from 1 species
AACGAACGCUGGCGGCAGGCUUAACACAUGCAAGUCGAGCGCCCCGCAAGGGGAGCGGCAGACGGGUGAGUAACGCGUGGGAAUCUACCCAUCACUACGGAAUAACGCAUGGAAACGUGUGCUAAUACCGUAUACGUCCUUCGGGAGAAAGAUUUAUCGGAGAUGGAUGAGCCCGCGUUGGAUUAGCUAGUUGGUGGGGUAAAGGCCUACCAAGGCGACGAUCCAUAGCUGGUCUGAGAGGAUGAUCAGCCACACUGGGACUGAGACACGGCCCAGACUCCUACGGGAGGCAGCAGUGGGGAAUAUUGGACAAUGGGCGCAAGCCUGAUCCAGCCAUGCCGCGUGAGUGAUGAAGGCCCUAGGGUUGUAAAGCUCUUUCACCGGUGAAGAUAAUGACGGUAACCGGAGAAGAAGCCCCGGCUAACUUCGUGCCAGCAGCCGCAGUAA